rnacentral:rRNA from 1 species
GACGAACGCUGGCGGCGUGCCUAAUGCAUGCAAGUCGAACGCGGCACCUUCGGGUGCUGAGUGGCGAACGGCUGAGGAACACGGGGGGACCUGUCCGGGCGUGGGGGACAACACCGCGAAAGCGGUGCUAAUCCCGCAUACGCCCUGAGGAGGCAAGCCGAAAGGCGCUCCCGGGUGGCCCUGCGGCCCCUAAGGUUGUUGGUGGGGUAAUGGCCUACCAAGCCAAUGAAGGGUCGCUGGUCUGUGCGGACGACCAGCCAGGCUGGGACUUGGACACGGCCCAGACUCGUACGGAAGGCAGCAGCAAGGAAUUUUCGGCAAGGGGCGCAAGCCUGACCGAGCAACGCCGCGUGCAGGAAGACGGCCGUCGGGUUGUACUCUGCUUUUGCUAGGGAUUAUAACAGACGGUACCUGGCGAAGCAGCCCCGGCUAACUCUGUG